UACGAACCGAGCGAACGUUAUUCGGAAUCACUGGGCUUAAAGGGCGCGUAGGCGGGCCGUCAAGUCGAGGGUGAAAGCCCCCAGCUCAACUGGGGAAGUGCCUCCGAUACUGGCGGCCUCGAGGGGGAUAGGGGCGUGCGGAACUUCCGGUGGAGCGGUGAAAUGCGUAGAUAUCGGAAGGAACACCGGUGGCGAAAGCGGCGCGCUGGAUCCCUUCUGACGCUGAGGCGCGAAAGCCAGGGGAGCGAACGGG
rnacentral:rRNA from 1 species